rnacentral:rRNA from 1 species
AAAUGGCCGCGGUAUCUCGACCGUGCUAAGGUAGCAUAAUAAGUUUCUUUUUAAUUGGGAGAUGGAAUGAAGGAGUGAACAAAGAGGUUUUGUACCGUUUUUAGUUGAAUAAUUUUAUGGAAGAGUAAGAAAGCUCUUGAGUUUUAGAAAGACGAUAAGACCCUAUAAAACUUUACUAGUAAAAAUUAAAAGUGUUUUAAGUUUGGAAAGUUUGUUAUUAGUUGGGCUGGGGCGGCUUGUUUUGAUAGGCAAAAUGUUAUAUUACAUAUUUAAUGGGUUUAAGGAGCGUAUGUAUGCAAUUAAGAUUAAGUUACUUUAGGGAUAACAGAAUAAUAUUUUUGGAGAGUUCUUAUCGAUAAAAGUGUUUGUUACCUCGAUGUUGAAUUGAAUAGUCUGCUGUGAGUAGUCAUUCAGGGUAGAAGGUCUGUUCGACCUUUAAUAGUUCACGUGAUCUG